GUCGGAGCCCGUCUCAUCAUCCUCUGGAGCUUUGGAGCUUGGUAUUCUUCGAACUCUUUGAGGUAGACGCAAGUCGACACCUCCUUUUCCAACACUAUUAAUCAAAGAUGGCGUUGACGGGGAUCGUCUUAUAACCAAAGUAAUAUUUGCCGGCUCCGGGGCUGUGUUGCUUUGCACCGUUUUCAUCACCAAAAUAAUGGGGGGGACGGGGUUCCGAUGGUUUUUUUUUGACUCGGAGUUGCAGCCCAUAAUCAUCCUCAGAAGAUCUGCUCGGAAGACUCUCUUGCUACACAAGACAACCCAAUUGCAGUAGAUAUCAAUACCAAAGUGCUUAGUAUUGAUCCUAUGUUCCAUUGAGAUGUAACAGCCAGCUUGUAAUCGAGUAGAAUGCCGUUGUGACUGUUACUUCAUGUGAUCAGUUUUUCUAUGCAUACUGUUACGAACCACUUUGACAAAAUAGGUGAACUGGAAAUAACAAACCUGCAGUAAAUGCCUAUAUAGACCAAUGAUCUUAUAGAUGUGAUAUCUAUCCACACAAGUUAAGGUAAAUAUCGAUCAAUAAUUUCUGAAGCACAUAAUGGAUUUCAGUUGCCUCCUUUUAGGUCUUCGUUAAA